rnacentral:rRNA from 1 species
UACGCAACCUACCCAUAACUGAUGAAUAGCCCUCCGAAAGGAGGAUUAAUACAUCGUAACCUCUUUGAGUGGCAUCACUUGAAGAGUAUAGCUCCGGCGGUUUUGGAUGGGCGUGCGCCUGAUUAGGUAGUUGGUGUAGGUAACGGCUCACCAAGCCAUCGAUCAGUAACUGGUGUGAGAGCACGACCAGUCACACGGGCACUGAGACACGGGCCCG